UACGUAGGGUGCGAGCGUUGUCCGGAAUUACUGGGCGUAAAGAGCUCGUAGGUGGUUUGUCGCGUUGUUCGUGAAAACUCACAACUCAAUUGUGGGCGUGCGGGCGAUACGGGCAGACUGGAGUACUGCAGGGGAGACUGGAAUUCCUGGUGUAGCGGUGGAAUGCGCAGAUAUCAGGAGGAACACCGGAGGUGAAGACGGGUUGCUGGGCUGACACUGACGCUGAGGCGCGAAAGCUAGGGUAGCAAACGGG
rnacentral:rRNA from 1 species